GUGUCAAUGUGCCUGUCAAAGUGUCCUGUGAGGUACUAGUCUUCCAUCCAAGUAAUCAUAGCUUCUGGUUAGGCAGCUCCAGAAUAUGGACAAAUGUAAAAUAACACAGUCAGAGGCAAAGGUACAAAACAUCACCCAAAUUCUGCAGCCUCCCUUGGUAUUGAAAGCAAAAGGCUUUGCUGUUCAAAGAGAAAAGAAAAUGAACGUCUGUAUGCUGUAUGGAUACAAGUUAACAGUGGAUGAGUCCUGUCAAGAGAUUUGAAAAGGGUCUACAGUGGAAAAGCCUAAAAUACCAUUCAAGAGAAAUCCUG